GAUGAACGCUAGCUACAGGCUUAACACAUGCAAGUCGAGGGGAAACGACAUCGAAAGCUUGCUUUUGAUGGGCGUCGACCGGCGCACGGGUGAGUAACGCGUAUCCAACCUGCCCAUCACUUGGGGAUAACCUUGCGAAAGUAAGACUAAUACCCAAUGAUAUCUCUAGAAGACAUCUGAAAGAGAUUAAAGAUUUAUCGGUGAUGGAUGGGGAUGCGUCUGAUUAGCUUGUUGGCGGGGUAACGGCCCACCAAGGCAACGAUCAGUAGGGGUUCUGAGAGGAAGGUCCCCCACAUUGGAACUGAGACACGGUCCAAACUCCUACGGGAGGCAGCAGUGAGGAAUAUUGGUCAAUGGGCGAGAGCCUGAACCAGCCAAGUAGCGUGCAGGAAGACGGCCCUAUGGGUUGUAAACUGCUUUUAUAAGGGAAUAAAGUGAGAGUCGUGACUCUUUUUGUAUGUACCUUAUGAAUAAGGACCAGCUAAUUCCGUG
rnacentral:rRNA from 1 species